AACGAACGCUGGCGGCAGGCUUAACACAUGCAAGUCGAGCGCCCCGCAAGGGGAGCGGCAGACGGGUGAGUAACGCGUGGGAAUCUAUCCUUUGCUACGGAACAACUCCGGGAAACUGGAGCUAAUACCGUAUGUGCCCGAAAGGGGAAAGUUUUAACGGCAAGGGGUGAGCCCGCGUCCGAUUAGCUAGUUGGUGGGGUAAAGGCCUACCAAGGCGACGAUCGGUAGCUGGUCUGAGAGGAUGAUCAGCCACACUGGGACUGAGACACGGCCCAGACUCCUACGGGAGGCAGCAGUGGGGAAUAUUGGACAAUGGGGGCAACCCUGAUCCAGCCAUGCCGCGUGAGUGAUGAAGGCCCUAGGGUUGUAAAGCUCUUUCACCGGUGAAGAUAAUGACGGUAACCGGAGAAGAAGCCCCGGCUAACUUCGUGCCAGCAGCCGCAGUAACAC
rnacentral:rRNA from 1 species